rnacentral:rRNA from 1 species
UACGUAGGGUGCAAGCGUUAAUCGGAAUUACUGGGCGUAAAGCGUGCGCAGGCGGUUAUGCAAGACAGAUGUGAAAUCCCCGGGCUUAACCUGGGAACUGCAUUUGUGACUGCAUAGCUAGAGUACGGUAGAGGGGGAUGGAAUUCCGCGUGUAGCAGUGAAAUGCGUAGAUAUGCGGAGGAACACCGAUGGCGAAGGCAAUCCCCUGGACCUGUACUGACGCUCAUGCACGAAAGCGUGGGGAGCGAACAGG